rnacentral:rRNA from 1 species
GGUGCGUCUCCGGUCUAAGUUCCUUGGAACAGGGCGUCAUAGAGGGUGAGAAUCCCGUACGUGACCGGUUGGCAAACCCAUGUGAAACUCCUUCGACGAGUCGAGUUGUUUGGGAAUGCAGCUCAAAAUGGGUGGUAAAUUUCAUCUAAAGCUAAAUAUUGGCCAGAGACCGAUAGCGCACAAGUAGAGUGAUCGAAAGAUGAAAAGCACUUUGGAAAGAGAGUUAAAAAGUACGUGAAAUUGUUGAAAGGGAAGCGCUUGCCACCAGACUCGCCCGGGGGUGAUCAACUGUCCUUUUGGGCGGUGCACUCUCCCCCGGUCGGGCCAGCAUCGAUUCGGGCGGUAGGACAAAGGUUCCGGGAACGUGGCUCACCUCGGUGAGUGUUAUAGCCCGGGGCGUAAUGCUACCAGCCUGGAUCGAGGACCGCGCUUCGGCUAGGAUGCUGGCGUAAUGGUUGCUAGCGACCCGUCUUGAAACACGGACCAAGGAGUCGACCAACUCUGCGAGUGUUUGGGUGUUAAACCCGUGCGCGUAAUGAAAGUGAACGGAGGUGAGACCCCGCAAGGGCGCAUCAUCGACCGAUCCUGAUGUCUUCGGAUGGAUUUGAGUAAGAGCAAAGUUGGUCGGACCCGAAAGAUGGUGAACUAUGCGUGAAUAGGGUGAAGCCAGAGGAAACUCUGGUGGAGGCUCGCAGCGGUUCUGACGUGCAAAUCGAUCGUCAAAUUUGCGUAUAGGGGCGAAAGACUAAUCGAACCAU